rnacentral:ncRNA from 1 species
GGAAGGUGCCUGUGAAAAUUCUCCGCAGGAUAAUAGGGAAAAGGGUGAAAAUCCCUUACGGUCCCGCCGCUGUAAGUGUGGAGCAGGGUUCUAUAGAUCACUGGGAAACCGGGAAGAGGAACUGCUGUGAGGAAGCCAAAGUCAGAAGACCUGCCUUUCAUGU